GCUAUAGCUCAGCUGGUUAGAGUGUGAUGCUGAUAACACCAAGGUUGCAAGUUUGAUCCCCGUAUGGGGCAGCU
rnacentral:tRNA from 1 species